UGAAAGUUGGUGUAACGUCCUGCACGAGUAAAUUUGAGUUACAAGGAGGAAGCGACUCUUCCACUUUCAA
rnacentral:tRNA from 1 species